UGAAUACGAGACGCUAAGGCGUCGAAGUAGUGUAUAUCAGACUUCCAAGAAAAGCUUGCACUGUCAUAGAUAAAAAAUGCCUGUACCAUAACCGACACAGGUGGGUAGGUAGAGUAUACUAAGGGGCGCGAGAUAACUCUCUCUAAGGAACUCGGCAAAAUAACUCCGUAACUUCGGGAGAAGGAGUGCCUUAUUUAUAAGGUUGCAAUAACAAGAUCCAAGCAACUGUUUAUCAAAAACACAGGUCUCCGCUAAGUCGUAAGACGAUGUAUGGGGGCUGACGCCUGCCCAGUGCCAGAAGGUUAAAGAAGUUGGUUAGCAAUUGCGAAGCUGAUAACUGAAGCCCUGGUGAACGGCGGCCGUAACAAUAACGGUCCUAAGGUAGCGAAAUUCCUUGUCGGGUAAGUUCCGACCCGCACGAAAGGCGUAAUGAUUUGGAUACUGUCUCGGAGAGGGGCUCGGUGAAAUAGACUUGUCUGUGAAGAUGCGGACUACCUGCACCAGGACAGAAAGACCCUAUGAAGCUUUACUGUAACUUGAAAUUGAAAUUGGACUUUAUUCGCGCAGCAUAGGUGGGAGGCGUUGAUUAUAAUCUUGCGGGAUUAUUGGAGCAGUGAGAUACCACUCUUGUAAUGUUAGAUUUCUAACUUUGAAUCAUUAUCUGGUCAAAGAACAGUUUCAGGCGGGCAGUUUGACUGGGGCGGUCGCCUCCUAAAUGGUAACGGAGGCGUACAAAGGUUUCCUCUGAACGGUUAGAAAUCGUAUCUAGAGUGUAAAGGCAUAAGGAAGCUUGACUGUGAGACCUACAAGUCGAGCAGGGACGAAAGUCGGUCUUAGUGAUCUGACGGUACUGAGUGGAAAGGCCGUCACUCAACGGAUAAAAGUUACUCUAGGAUAACAGGCUGAUCUCCCCCAAGAGUUCACAUCGACGGGGAGGUUUGGCACCUGAUGUCGGCUCAUCGCAUCCUGGGGCGGUAGUACGUCCCAAGGGUUGGGCUGUUCGCCCAUGAAAGCGGUACGCGAGCUGGGUUCAGAACGUCGUGAGACAGUUCGGUCCAUAUCCGGUGUAGGCGUUAGAAUAUUGAGAGGAGCCUUCUUUAGUACGAGAGGACCGAGAAGGACAUACCUCUGGUGUACCAGUUAUCGUGCCAACGGUAAACGCUGGGUAGCUAUGUAUGGAGUGGAUAACCGCUGAAAGCAUCUAAGUGGGAAGCCCACCUCAAGAUAAGUAUUCC
rnacentral:rRNA from 1 species